AAACGACUCUSGGCAACGGAUAUCUCGGCUCUUGCAUCGAUGAAGAACGUAGCGAAAUGCGAUACUUGGUGUGAAUUGCAGAAUCCCGUGAACCAUCGAGUUUUUGAACGCAAGUUGCGCCCGAUACCAUUAGGUUGAGGGCACGUCUGCCUGGGCGUCACACACA
rnacentral:rRNA from 1 species